AAAAUGAGCACAACUGGCCACAAGAAGUGCAGCUAGCAAAGAUGCAAGGUUGAAACGCACAGCUGUGAUUGAUGUACAAAGAUGCUGUUUUGUAACCCGCCGGUAAAUCAUGUCAACUGCAGAGGCACCACUGACCUAGUGGUACAGUUCAUAUUUUCCUGGGCCUGACACAGACUGCUUUAAAUAUGCCAUUAAAAACCCUCCUUACUUAAACCAGUAAAGAACUAUGGAAGAGGACAUAUAACAGUUUUUCUCAAAUCUGAAUGCCUUAUGACUACAAGUAAAAAAGAAAUGUUGAUAUUUUCAAAAACAAUUCAAACCAAAGAGAAUAAAAAUGCUACAGUUGACUUACAAAUUACUGGGCUUUUUAAGCCGAGACUGUGGAUUAUUCUCGUCAGUUCCCAUCAGCGUGGCGUCUGCUGAGCAGGUCUUAUAGACAGGCUUCCUGGCUGAGCUGUCCUCGCAGUCUCCAUUGUGUCCUAUCAGACGUUGGCUAAAGACCGCAAGUUCUGAGGCUCGGCUCUCCAACUGUAGUAAAAAAAUUCAAUUCUAGCUAUUUCAUAUUUAUCAUUUUGCUAUAUACAUGUUUUAUUUAUCACCUUUGAACAAUAACUUGGCUUACCUGGGUAAACUAAGUUUGUUCGAAAUUAUUAACAAAAAAGUUACUUAACAGUGAAUAUUUUGAAUUGGUUUUCCUAUAUUGUAGUAAUUUGAAUUAUUAUAUUGCUAUCAGGUUAAUUGAGGCACAGUUUUCCAGAUCAAAAAUACCUUUCUAAUCUGUCAAUAAAAAUUUGAGUUUACCAU
rnacentral:sRNA from 1 species